rnacentral:rRNA from 1 species
AAGCUCCAUUGUCGAGAGGGAAACAGCCCAGAACACCGACGAAGGUCCCUAAGCGUGUGCUAAGUGAGAAAGGAUGUGGAGUCGCAGAGACAACCAGGAGGUUCGCUUAGAAGCAGCCACCCUUGAAAGAGUGCGUAAGAGCUCACUGGUCAAGUGAUUCUCCGCCGACGAUGUAGCGGGCGUCAAGCACAUCACCCACGUCGUGUCAUUGCACCUAUAGGUCCAACGCCUCUUGUUAUAGGUAGUGGAGCGACUUCUGGCGGGUGAGGGGGCGGUCGAAGCCAGUCGUGGACGGUAUACG